ensembl:lincRNA
GGGGAAUGUAGGUUUGGGGGGCAGCGCCCGGGCCGUGGAGGCUGGGAGGGCGCGCAGCUGGGGCGCCUCAGGCCUUGGAGAAGGUGGCGGCAGCGCCGGCGGGGCCCCCGGGGGCAGCUCCGGGCUCCUCGGCCCAGCGGUUCAUGCAGCGGCGCCGCGCGUUCAUGAAGAAAUUGCUGACGGUGUUGAGCUCCAGGCCGAGCUGCUGCGAGAUGGUGACCUGCAUCUCCUUAGACGGCCGCUUAUUCUCCUUGAAGAUGGCGAUGAGCGUGCGCCGCUGCAGGUCAGUGAACACCAGGCGCUGCUUUUUGGGCUGCAGCGCGCGCUCUUUCUGCUGCUCCUGCUCCUUCCGCUUGCAGGCUGCGGGCGAGCGCGGGCGGGCGGGCCGGCGAGAGGGACGCGGCGCCACCGCGCGGCCGGACAGGAGAAGACAGGCCACGUGUCCCGGAGCGCCGAGACAUCAGGAAACACAGAAAUGCGGGAAACGCGAGAGAUGGAGAGAUGACACGGGGACAGGGCCAAAAAGACAAGGAGACACAGAGAGCAGGAGGCAGCAAGAAGGCGCCCACACCUGGGAGAUGUUGGAGGAAAUAACCCGGAAACCCUACAUCAGGCUGAGACCAAGGCCUGGCAUCCCUCAGGUCCCCCAGGGAACUUCUGGAGCAGGAGAAUUGCAAGACCAACCCUCCCUCUGCCAGAACCACCUGGCCCAGAUGAUGGGGAAGGCGUAGGAGGCCGCGCUAUGGUCAGUACUUGUGUGCUAAGUCACUUCAGUCAUGUCUAACUCUUCUCAAUCCUAUGGACUGAGGCCCUCCAGGUUCCUCUGUCCAUGGGAUUCUCCUGGCAAGAAUACUGGAGUGGAUUCCCAUUUCCUUCUCCAGGGGAAUCUUCCUGACCCAGGGAUCGAACUCAUGUUUGCCUGUAUCUCCUGCAUUGCAGGCAGAUUCUUUACCACUGAGCCACUUGGGAAACCCCCUGUGGUGGGUAGAAGCUUGCAAAGGAGAAGUGGCAGCAUCUGAGUGGUGGAGCUAGGGUGGAGCCUAUGGUCGUGCUCCCCCCUGCACCAGCUCCAAAGUGGGCCCCUCCCCUCAAUGCUGUGGGGCCAGCGGAUAGAAAACAUGAUCUUCACCAGCCAAAGCUGGCUACCUCCACCUGGGGACUGGCAUCAGCAAAAUCUCCAUCAGGGUCUCAAUUCCUUGACCACACACCAGUCAGGGACAGUGGGUGGUGGACGCCCACCCCAUCCUGCCUUCCCACAAACCGCUUGCCCCAGCGACUCUGUCACUCCCAGAGUGGCUGGUGGCACGGGCUAUACUAGCAGAUCUCCGCUACCAGCCCUGGUAGCCUGCUGGGACCAUGUACCAAGCUGGUUUUUUUUUUGGUUCCGGAACAGUCUGAACCAGAUGACAUGCCAGAUCAAUGUCCACACAUGUCCGUAAAAAAUAAAUGACUGUCCCCUGUGCUGUGGCUCAUUUCUCAGUGAUGACAUCUCCCCCUCUCGCCCUCAAGUUCCCCCCCCUCCGUUUGGACUGAUGCACCACUUCCUUAUCUGGCUUCUUCUGACCUGGAACACACAGUGCUUCUAAUUGGCUGUUUCAGGUUUCAUAAUUAAAUGAGAGUGGCAGGCAGAGGUUACUGGACUUUUCAGAAAAAAGCUUCUAAUGAAGGAGAGAGAGAGAAAGUGAGAAAAUGGGAGGACUGGGGACUGAUGCUCUCAGAAGAAACAGAUAAGACAGGUGCAAUUAGAAGUCAGAUUCUGGGAGGGGUAAGAGAAAAUACUGUAUCCAUGAAACAAGAACUGGAUGCUGUUCAAUAGAAAGGACCAUGAGAGGGGCAGACAAUGCUCUUAGAAUUUAAGUAUAUUAUAGCAGGAAUAAAGUCAAUGUAAGAAUUGGGACAUAGGAACUUCCCUGGCAGUCCAGUGGUUAGGACUCUGCUUUCACUGCCAAGGGCCCAGGUUCAUUCCCUGGUUGGGAAACUAAGAUUCCACAAGCCAUGUGGCAUGGCCAAAAAGUUAAAAAAAAAAAGAAGAAGAAGAAGAAUUGGAACAUAAAGCAAAUAUCCCUGGAAAUAUAAGUGGAUGCAGAGAUGGAAAAUGAGGGAAAGAUGAUAACAAAGUUUGAGGAUGAAUGUGCAGGUUUGUCAUCUGAGCAAGAGGCCAUCCAAAACUAGAGAAAGGGAAGCCCAAACAAAUUAUAUCAAUAUGAUUAGAAUAGUGUGUGUGUGUGUGUGUGUGCUCAGUCAUGUUCAACCUGUUAUGACCCCAUGGACUGUGGGCCACCAGGAUCCUCUGUCCAUGGGAUUCUCCGCAUCUCUUGUGUCUCCUGCAUUGGCAGGCAGAUUCUUUACCACUGUACCACCUGAGAAGCAG